AACCCUCGACCUUAGUUGCCAGCAUUCAGUUGGGCACGUCUAAGGUGACUGCCGGCUAAAAAGUCGGAGGAAGGUGGGGAUGACGUCAAAUCAUCAUGCCCUUAUGACCUGGGCUACACACGUGCUACAAUGGGCGGUACAAAGGGUCGCGAACCCGCAGGGGGAGCCAAUCCCAAAAAGCCGCUCUCAGUUCGGAUUGCAGGCUGCAACUCGCCUGCAUGAAGCCGGAAUCGCUAGUAAUCGCGGAUCAGCAUGCCGCGGUGAAUACGUUCCCGGGCCUU
rnacentral:rRNA from 1 species